rnacentral:misc_RNA from 1 species
GAUGAAGAACGUAGCGAAAUGCGACAAGUAAUGUGAAUUGCAGAAUUCAGUGAAUCAUCGAAUCUUUGAACGCACCUUGCACCCUUUGGCAUUCCGAAGGGUAUGCUCGUUUGAGUGUCAUUGUACCCUCACUCUCCCGAUCUUUGGAUCGGGAGUGGUGGACUUGGGUGUUGCUGCUUUACCGUGGCUCACCUCAAAUGGAUUCGUGCAACUCCUGGUUGGACAUAGUACGGCGUGAUAAGUGUCUUCGCCGGCACCUCACUAGAGGGUGGCUGACCGGGAGCUCUGUGCUUCAAACCGUCUUCGGACAACAACUGACAACUUGACCUCAAAUCGAGUAGGACCACCCGCUGAACUUAAGCAUAUCAAUAAGCGGAGGA